UACGUAGGGUGCGAGCGUUAAUCGGAAUUACUGGGCGUAAAGCGUGCGCAGGCGGUUUUGUAAGUCAGAUGUGAAAUCCCCGGGCUUAACCUGGGAACUGCGUUUGAAACUACAAGGCUAGAGUGUGGCAGAGGGGGGUGGAAUUCCACGUGCAGCAGUGAAAUGCGUAGAGAUGUGGAGGAACACCGAUGGCGAAGGCAGCCCCCUGGGUUAACACUGACGCUCAGGCACGAAAGCGUGGGGAGCAAACAGG
rnacentral:rRNA from 1 species